UAUCUGUCCUAGGCAUCAGAGGCAG
rnacentral:misc_RNA from 1 species